ensembl:processed_transcript C330024D21Rik RIKEN cDNA C330024D21 gene
CUUCCUUUUCCGGUUGACAUCCUUGCCAUCCUGUCAUGCCUCUCCACCGCCACGCUUCCCCAUCAUUAUGGAGAUGGACUUGUCCUGGAACCAUAAGCCAAAUAAAGCCUUCCUUCUCCAAGUCUGCUUGAACCAAUAUUGCAACUGAAAUUUGUCGAAGGCCGAGGCAUUUGCUGAAACAGGAAAUGGAGAACAUUACAGCAGAGUGGAGCCCUUUUGUUUCCAGGUCAGAGCUGCUGUGUUUGUAAAGAAAAGGAAGCAGAGAACAGGCUGGCGCUGGUAUCAUUAUUUCCCCCUUCCUGAAUAUUUCCUACCAAGCAACUGCUUUGGAAAUAACAAAAUGAUUUCACUAUGGAAAAAAUGCCAAGAAAAGAAUCCGGGGCUGUCUGAUUGGCUAAUAAUGAACAUAAAGGACGUCGUGCUUGUUGAAUGGCAGAUUGAAAUCCGGCUAGUUGGUGAGAACGUCUGUCCAUCUUUACUGAACCUGCUGACUUCCCAGAGUUCCACUGGUGGCUUUCUGGAUUGCCUUAGGUCUUGCUUCAGGACAGCGGAAUGGGAGCAAUAAAACAAAAAGAAGUUAUAUUUACAAUCUUAGACUGAUAAAAAUUUAUAGCUAAGAAGACCCACAGAGAUUAACUGGGCCUGCUUACCCUAUUCCACCGUUUGCAUUGAGGAGAGACAGAAAUCAGAGAUGUGUGUUCAGCCUGAAUUGUCUGCGCCCCAUGUGUGCAUCCAGGGACAAUAGGAAAGAGUCCUGGAUCCCCUGGGACUGGAGUUACAGACAGCUGGAAGCUACCACAGGGGUGCUGGAGAUCGAACCAAGACCCUCUGCAAGAGCAGUAAGUGCUCUCAGUAGCUGAGCUGCCUCUCCAAGCUCACCUUGAUGGACUUAGUCCAGGGGAGUUGACCUUCCCUUCACUUGUGGCACUGUAGUUUGUACAUGAUCACAGUAGUCUCGGUCUCCAGUCAACAGGACAGAAACUGCCAAACUGGAAGUUUUUCCAGUAUUGGAAAUACAACUGUGAGACCCAGUGCCUGGAAUUCCUGGCACAAGAACACUUUCCCCAGAUUGCUUUAUAAUUAUUUCUUCAAGUGUCUGCCUCCCGACUAACGUGACAUGUGGAACGAGUCACCGGUCAGAGUCUUCCUUGUCUCCAAAAGCGCUUGGCAUGAUGCCUGAUAGCAAAUAUUUAUCAAGAACCAUCUGGGUGCCAAAGAACUACUCCAGGGACCGCAGAAACUACAAGGGAAACACUCCUGCCCUCGCUGAGAAUAUUGGAGGGGAAAUACAGAAUCAACACAAGACCCCCAAAUAAGUCAUGAAAAUGGCAGAUACCCUUGCGUGGCCAUUUGAUGCCUACAUUUGGACACUGUGUAAGGACUAAGUCUUUUUGUUCUAAUGAAGAUGUUUCAUGAGUUUUGUCUUUGCAUUAAGUGGAUGAUGCUACUGAAGAGACAAACCCUGGAGGCAUGGAGCUGCUUCUUCCUGAACCUAGGAAUGCUCAUCCUGCUUUAAAAGCCUUCCGGUGUCUGAGGCAUGUGGAUUUCGAGUGCUGUACAACGCUGAUCGCCCAUCCUCCACACACAUUCAACUUCUGUUAGUACUUGUUCAAGGGUCUAAGUGCCUUUGACCACAGAAAGAAGUGGGUAAGUUUGCUUAGAAUGUAUGUAGCCCAGGUUCACGUCAAAACACACCUAUCAUGGAACACGUGUCUUCAGAAGCCAGCAGACAACUUGGUGUGGUGUUUGUAACUUCAGAUGUUACCACCGGACCAGCCUGGCCCCAUCUUCUUUGGUCUUCUGGGAUGUGCUUCCAUCUGAAUAACAUUGGCAAUAUUUCUUUUUAGAAGAAUGUGGUAGGGUCGUUUUCUUUUUUAAUUUCAAAUAACACCACUCCUUGAACUGGGAACAAACAAUUCACUUGCAUCUCAGCUCUGCAUUUAUUUGUAAUUUUCACAUAAAUCAACUUAUAUGAAAAUGUAUUCAUAAUUUG